rnacentral:rRNA from 1 species
CCUACGGGAGGCAGCAGUGGGGAAUAUUGGACAAUGGGCGAAAGCCUGAUCCAGCCAUGCCGCGUGUGUGAAGAAGGCCUUCGGGUUGUAAAGCACUUUCAGUGGGGAAGAAAGCCUUGGGGCUAAUACCCUCGAGGAAGGACAUCACCCACAGAAGAAGCACCGGCUAACUCCGUGCCAGCAGCCGCGGUAAUACGGAGGGUGCGAGCGUUAAUCGGAAUUACUGGGCGUAAAGCGCGCGUAGGCGGUCUGAUAAGCCGGUUGUGAAAGCCCCGGGCUCAACCUGGGAACGGCAUCCGGAACUGCCAGGCUAGAGUGAAGGAGAGGAAGGUAGAAUUCCCGGUGUAGCGGUGAAAUGCGUAGAGAUCGGGAGGAAUACCAGUGGCGAAGGCGGUCUUCUGGACUGACACUGACGCUGAGGUGCGAAAGCGUGGGUAGCAAACAGGAUUAGAUACCCCAGUAGUC